UGCCAGCCGCCGCGGUAAUACGGAGGGUGCAAGCGUCAAUCGGAAGUACUGUGCGUAAAGCGCGCGUAGGUGGUCAAGUCAGUCAGAUGUGAAAGCCCUGGGCUCAACCUGGGAACUGCAUCUGAUACUGCUUGACUAGAGUAUGGUAGAGGGGUGUGGAAUUUCCUGUGUAGCGGUGAAAUGCGUAGAUAUAGGAAGGAACACCAGUGGCGAAGGCGACACCCUGGACCAAUACGGACACGGAGGUGCGAACGCGUGGGGCGCAAACAGGAGUAGAUC
rnacentral:rRNA from 1 species